CCUACGGGUGGCAGCAGUGAGGAAUAUUGGUCAAUGGACGAGAGUCUGAACCAGCCAAGCAGCGUGAAGGAUGACUGCCCUAUGGGUUGUAAACUUCUUUUAUAAAGGAAUAAAACGAGGCACGUGUGCCUUUUUGCAUGUACUUUAUGAAUAAGGAUCGGCCAACUCCGUGCCAGCAGCCGCGGUAAUACGGAGGAUCCGAGCGUUAUCCGGAUUUAUUGGGUUUAAAGGGAGCGUAGAUGGGUUGUUAAGUCAGUUGUGAAAGUUUGCGGCUCAACCGUAGAAUUGCAAUUGAUACUGGCAGUCUUGAGUACAGGUGAGGUAGGCGGAAUUCGUGGUGUAGCGGUGAAAUGCUUAGAUAUCACGAAGAACCCCGAUUGCGAAGGCAGCUUACUAAACUGUGACUGACAUUGAGGCGCGAAAGCGUGGGGAGCAAACAGGAUUAGAUACCCUUGUAGUC
rnacentral:rRNA from 1 species